GACGAACGCUGGCGGCGUGCCUAACACAUGCAAGUCGAACGGAAGUUAGAGCUUCGGUUUUAACUUUAGUGGCGAACGGGUGAGUAACGCGUGAGGAACCUGCCUUUCAGUGGGGGACAACAGUUGGAAACGACUGCUAAUACCGCAUGAUGCUUUUGGGAGACAUCUCCUGGAAGCCAAAGCUUUAUGUGCUGAAAGAUGGCCUCGCGUCUGAUUAGCUAGUUGGUGAGGUAACGGCUCACCAAGGCGACGAUCAGUAGCCGGUCUGAGAGGGUGAACGGCCACAUUGGGACUGAGACACGGCCCAAACUCCUACGGGAGGCAGCAGUGGGGAAUAUUGCACAAUGGGGGAAACCCUGAUGCAGCGACGCCGCGUGAGUGAUGAAGUAUUUCGGUAUGUAAAACUCUAUCAGCAGGGAAGAUAAUGACGGUACCUGACUAAGAAGCACCGGCUAAAUACGUG
rnacentral:rRNA from 1 species